UGGCGGCGGCGGCGACUGGAACGCACGGUUUCGGCCCCGGUAGCCCCUGCACAUUCCCUCGUGUUUGGGCCACAGCUCGCGGAACCCUUCACACGGGGAACGCGUGUGCGUCUGUCCGCUCCUCCGGAAAUGGCCAAGGCUUCACACAGAUACAGUAAGAUGUGUGAAAGAUUGGUGGAAGACGAGAUGGGAUUGCGAGGUGAGAACCAACUAGCAGGGAGCCUUGAAUGCCAAGCUAAUAAUUUAGACUUUUUCUUUAAAUCGUGAUGAUUUAAUCUGAGCCUUGUGUUAGGAAGAUUAAUGUGGCAACAGUUAGCAGAGUGGUAGGUAUCCUGUAAUUGCAAAGAGGCUAAAGGUGUGAUUGUAUCCACAAGUCAUAAGAGUAGGGUACUAGUAAGAUUAGGCCAGGUUUUACGAUGAAUUUUUACUUGGCUAUUAGCUGCACAGGAAAGGGGUGUUGUAAAAGAAGCAUGUGGUACUCCUAAAGGAGGGAAAUUUAAUUGAACUCUAAUGGAAUGCUAAUACUUGAGCAGAUUUUCUUUGCUCUAAAUUAAAAAAUGGGUCCAGUACAGUGAUGUGUUAGAAGAUACUUUUACAAAUUGUUUUGGAAUGUAGUUCAUAUUAUAUUUUAGUAUUGCAGUAUACUUAAAUUUGCGUAUUAAUUGAACUAGAUAAUGUGUCUUGAGCAAUUUGGUAUACAUAUUAAGAGUCAUAAAUGUCCAUGUUUUAGAAUCCAGACAAACUAAACUUCUCAUGCUUUGGAAUAUACUUUAUGACUAUAUUUUUUCUUCAAAGUAAUUUUUUAGUAAAAUUUCUUAGAUGGUAUGAUACCUAUCAUUGAUGACACACAUAAUCUUUUUCUCCUUAAAUCUCAGAAGCUAUGGCAACAAUAGACUCACAAAUCCAAAUGGCAUUAGUUAGCAAGAAAUCACUGUAGCUGAAAGAAGACUACUGCUUUUAUAUCAGAAAGACAUAUUUCAGUUGGUCUGCAUUCUGAAGGGUGGACAUUUACGAUUCUUAAUAUGUAUGUUGAGUUGUCUGACUUUCCCUAAACUGAGACCUGUUGGGGUUUUUCUUUUGGUUUGGUUUGUUUUAUCUAAACAGCGAGACAGUAAAUAUUUUAAGCUCUGUGGAUGA
rnacentral:lncRNA from 1 species